rnacentral:rRNA from 1 species
GAGGCUAAUAGCCGAUACGAAACAGACGCUGGAAUGCACUGUAUUCCAAAGACACCGCUGAAGGAUGCGGCUGCGGCCGAUUAGGUAGACGGUGGGGUAACGGCCCACCGUGCCAGUAAUCGGUACGGGUGAUGAGAGUCAGAGCCCGGAGACGGAAUCUGAGACAAGAUUCCGGGCCCUACGGGGCGCAGCAGGCGCGAAACCUUUACACUGCACGAAAGUGCGAUAGGGGAAUCCCAAGUGCGAGGGCAUAUUAGCCCUCGCUUUUGUUGACUCUAAGGCGGUCAACGAAUAAGAGCUGGGCAAGACCGGUGCCGGCCGCCGCGGUAAUACCGGCAGCUCAAGUGAUGUCCCAUAUUAUUGGGCCUAAAGCGUCCGUAGCUGGCCGACCAAGUCUAUCGGGAAAUCCACCUGCCCAACAGGUGGGCGUCCGGUAGAAACUGGCCGGCUUGGAACCGGAAGGCUCAGAGAGUACGUCCGGGGUAGGAGUGAAAUCCCGUAAUCCCGGACGGACUACCGAUGGCGAAAGCACUCUGAGAAGACGGCUUCGACAGUGAGGGACGAACGCUCGGGUCUCAAACCGGAUUAGAUACCCGGGUAGUC